rnacentral:rRNA from 1 species
ACAGCAGUAGCCACGGUAAUACGUAGGUGGCAAGCGUUGUCCGGAAUUAUUGGGCGUAAAGGGCUCGCAGGCGGUUUCUUAAGUCUGAUGUGAGAGCCCCCGGCUCAACCGGGGAGGGUCAUUGGAAACUGGGAAACUUGAGUGCAGAAGAGGAGAGUGGAAUUCCACGUGUAGCGGUGAAAUGCGUAGAGAUGUGGAGGAACACCAGUGGCGAAGGCGACUCUCUGGUCUGUAACUGACGCUGAGGAGCGAAAGCGUGGGGAGCGAACAGGAUUAGAGACCCGUGUAGUUCCUGUCUCUUAUAC